CCUCGCCCCUCGCGGGACCUCCCCGGAAUGGCGUCGUUAGCGCUAUAAGAGAGCUUGUGCAGACGACUCCGGCCUUUUACAUCCGGUAAGCGUCCGGUUUAGGGACGGGCUGUCGGUUGUGGUUGUUUUGUGAGGUAAAGUAACAAGGAACACGGCUUUUCGGUCUAGUUUAAGAUGCAGGCGAUGCAGCGGUCUUGUAGUAGUAGGCCGACGUUAGCUUUGAAAACGUCUAGGUUCAGAAGCUUGAGUGAAAUUUCAUGUUCGUUCGUUAGCGGGGCGGCCACGUGCAGCCCCGGGAGUUGAGUCGGAAGCCAGUCCCGCGUGCGUCGUGGGCCCUCCGGCAGAGGUUAAAUACCGCCGAUGACUCGGGUGAAAAAGGUCGUGCGUUGUACUGUCGGUGCCAUGUGGCCAUCUUGAAUCUGUUAACUCUGCCACUCUUGAAGAGCAACACGGCAUCCUGACGGUUUGAUCCAAGUGGAAGCUGAGCUAAUGGUUCCAGUGGAUGAUGGAAAGCAUAACGAGAUAUACCAAGAAAUCCAAAGUGAUGUGGGUGAAGUCUGAUUGAGCAUCCUGCAGGACACUGCUAAAUAACCUGGCAUCCAGACCCCAAGAAGAUGGUUAUUUUGAGGUUCUAGCCUGCCAUCUCGGUCUGCUGGCUCCCCGAUUAAGUCUCUUCCUUGCCCCAACACCUCAUUUUGGAUGCACGAGGCUGAACUCGGUAACAGUUAGAAUUCCACUAUGAAUGUUUACACUAGCACUGCAGUUUAAUUACAAGGAUGGCCCAUGAGAAACUGUUGAAGUGAAAUGAAGUCACUCGGUCGUGUCUGACUCUUUGCAAACCCAUGGACUGCAGCCCACCAUGCUCCUCCAUACAUGGAAUUUUCCAGGACUUCCCUGGUGGCUCAGUGGUAAAGAAUUCACCUACCAAUCCAGGAGACAGGGGUUCAACCCCUAGUCCAGGAAGAUGGAAGAUCCCACAUGCUGCAGGGCAGCUAAGCCCAUGCACCUGGAGCCCCAGAGCCACAGUCAUGAAGCCCACUCUAGAGCCUGUGCUCUGCAACAAGAGAAGCCAGCACGGUGAGAAGCCCGCACACCUCUACUAGAGAGCAGGCCUGCUCACUGCAGCGAGAGAAAAGCCACACAGCAGCAGAGCCCAAGGUGGGCCUCCGACAACACUUCAAAAUGUAAAGUGGUUUUCGUAACCAUGUCAACUCAGAAACCUGAACAAUGCAACAAAGAUGAUCACCUACUAGUGAUCGAUGAAACUAACAAUUUCCUGCGAUUCCUUGAAAUUCUCCAUUUUGAACAUUAAAUCAUCACAUAUCUUUAAAGUACAGAAGGCUUUUCAUAUAUUGUGCUUAGACUUCUUGUGGGUUCUACUUCAAACUUUGAAUUUAGGAUUAUUUCACAUCCUGAAACUGUAAAAAUUAACAGUCAUGAAGAAUCAGAUAUUUAAAUAACUUAUUUCUACUUUCUGUGUAUUGAUACUGUUGUAUUAUAAAAUUCAAUGUCUCAUUAAUAUCCAGGUUUUUAAAGAAAAAUCCCAAGUGAUUAACUGUCACUGCAUCCUUGAAAGUGCUGCUGAAAGGUUGACUGUAUCCCUGGAGCGGAAUUUAAGAAAUUAAUCUCAAGCUUCACUGUUCAGCUCAGGAGGCAGUGGCCACAUGUGCUAUCAGAGCACUUGAAAUGUGGAUGGUCCAAAAUGAGAUGUGAAGUGGAUGAAACUGGAGCCUAUUAUACAGAAUGAAGUAAGUCAGAGAGAGAAACACCAGUACAGUAUACUAAUGCAUAUAUAUGGAAUUUAGAAACAUGGUAACGAUGACCCUAUACACAAGGCAGCAAAAGAGACACAGAUGUAAAGAACAGACUUUUGGACUCUGUGGGAGAAGGUGAGGGUGGGAUGAUUUGAGAGAAUAGCAUUGAAACAUGUAUAUUACCGUGUGUGAAAUAGGUGACCAGUGCAAGUUCAAUGCAUGAAGCAAGGUGCUCAAAGCCCGUGCUCUGGGACCACCCACAGGGAUGGAGUGGGGAGGGAGGUGGGAGGGGGGUUUAGGAUGGGGGACACGUGUGCACCGUGGCUGAUUCAUGUCAGUAUAUGGCAAAAACCAUCACAAUAUUGUAAUUAGCGUCCAAUUAAAUAAUUUUUUAAAAAAGAAAUAUAGUGGUGAAUAUUUACUAUAAAAAAAGUACAAAAUGUGCACAGGAUUUCAAACAUUUAGUAUGAAAAAGAAUAUGAAAUAUAUUGUUUCUAUAGAUAAUAGGAAUAUAAAAUAUCUCAAUUUUUUAUAUAUUUUGGAUAUACUAAGUUAUAUGAAAUAUAUCAUUAAAAUUAACUUCACCCACUUAGUUUUUUAAUCUUUUAAAGUGGCUACUGGAAAAUUUAAAGUUACAUGUAUGAUUUAUAUUUGUGGCUCACAUUAUAUUCCUACUAGAUAACACUGGUCUAGAGAAAUAGUCUGGCAUAAAGUAGGCAUCCUAUUUUGUUUUUUUAAUGCAGUCUCUUAUGUUGCUUAUAACCCUUAAGCUCCAGUUAUGAGACAUUCCCUAUGUAUGUCAACUUUUUAUAUUAAAGAUAAUUACAUUACUGUUCAACCUAAAAACUUAUUUUACUGCAACAAUAUUUUCUGUUCUUCAAAAGAGGGCUUUGACACUUAGCUAAAAUAACCCUUGCAUCUAAAACCUACAUAAAUAUAUCCUACAUUAUCUAAAAAUUUAGCCAGUGAACAAAGAAACAGGACAUUAUUACAUGGAAAUUUAUUUUGUAAAUAUCCCAGUCUUAGUCUUGGACAGUCUUGCCUUCAUGUGUCACUUCUUGCCUGAAUUACUGCAACAGUCUGCUAAAUGGCAUCACUACUUCAAGUUUUAACUUUCAAGCCAUCCUUCACACUGCAGCCAGAGCGAAACAGAAAUAGCCAGAUAGAAAUAUCUGGUAAUAUAACUGCUCUUCUGGAUACCCUUCAAGGGGUCCCAACUGUGUCUACAUGAUAAAGUUCAAACUUCUUCAGUGAUACACAAAUCCAUCCAAGAACAGCCCUUGUCCACCACUCUAAUACAGCUUCUGUGCCACAGUCGUUUUAGUGGCUUGAAGAGGUGUCUGACAAACCUGUCUUUAUUCAAACUAUUUGCAAUAUCAUUCCCCCCUCCUUCACCCUAAGAUGGCAAAAACUGAUUUUAACUUUUAAGUCUCAAGAUCUAGGACACUCUUCCUGCCCUCCCAGA